GCUCACUGCGUAUACACUCACAAUGCAUUAAGCUCUAUUAUAUUAAGCUUGAUGCAUAAUUUUAAAUAUAGAAGAGAAUAAAUAAACGUUAGCACAGAAUGUUGUAGGAAAGAUACCUAGAGAAGACGAACGAAGGUGUUACAUAGAAAUCAAAUUGGAACCAUGUUGGGAAUGAGCAUACGCUAGUCUAAUGUAGUCUCUAGAGGCACUACAUAUAUAUAUAUAUAUAUAUAUAUAUAUAUAUAUAUAUAUAUAUAUAUAUAAUAGCAGAAGCCUUUUCCUACAAUUAAGGCAGUUGUGACAUGUAGGAAAAAUGCCCACUUAAAACUUUGACACGUUGACAGUAAAAGAGUUACAAAAGCGAUCGUUAUAUCGUUUGAGUACUGAAUUACAGUGUCACUAAUACACUGUCUAUCUUAAACCCAAACACUACACCGGUUCAGUACCCUUUAAUCUAUACUAUCGUUUCACUAAAGACAAGAUAUAAAAAGUUCAAAAACGGUUUGCAAACCCAUACCUAGACGAUCCUUUAAACAAAGAAGGCACGGAAGAUGGAGAGAGCAAAAAACUGAGAAACAUGUACGCCAAUUGUGUCAAGAUGUAAGACAAUCCAAGCUUCUACCACCGUCAACAAUACAGCACGCCCUCAAGUUUAGCCAGGUCAAAGCUGAUUGAUUGUGUUAUGUGGAAUCUAUAAUUGUAUAGGAACCUUGCUUUUCUAUAGUGAGUUAAGAUGAGGACAGAUUCCAUGUGCUUUUCCAUCUUGGAAGUUCCUAGAUGCAGAAUCCCACCUUAGCUGCUUUUUGGAGGGAAAGCUUCCAUAAUUUGAGUAGGACUGACAAUAGAAAAUGGACUCGAAGUCCUAUAUUUACAAAAAGUGAUACAUUUAGUGUAAAUAAGACAGAGAUUAGUCAAUUCCACAAUA